UUUAACAUACCAGACAGUGUUAAACGCACCAUGUAAUGAGCUCUAUUUGUUUAAUCAACAUUUGUUAUCCUAUGUACGUUUAAUUUAAAGACAAAACCCGUUCUUCCAUCAUCAGGACUGUGAAUGAAGACGGCAUUGUAUGGCUAAAAGGACUGUAUAUAUAUAGACCAGUCAGCAUACAUACUCUCUGUGGAACCGUAUUGUUCUUAAUAUGGUGACAUUUUUGUUAUAUACGUGUGUAUAUUCCCUCUCUCUCCUUUCAAACUAUUUAAUCCCAUAGGUACUCACAUACAUAUUUCAUGAUAGAAAACGCAUCUUCAAAGAAGAAAGACGGUAGGAAUUAUGAGAAUGAAAAUGUUAGACAUAAGUAUAUGUAUAUUUACUUCAGGAUAGGAAUAUGUAUAGUUACUUCUGAAUCAAAAUAUAACAUCAUUGUCACAUGUUCCUUAAUUGUCAUUGGAUGAAUUGCGUGUAUAUAGUCAUGAUUAUACGAAGUAACAUCUACUUCUGGAGUCCUUGAUAAGAGAAAAGAAGGCGUCUUUGGUUAUUAUAAACUUCAUCCUGAGAUGAUUAGUUUCUCAUAAAUAGCGUUUGUUAUGGUAUUAAUUUCGUGGAUCCGCAGAGUUAUUGUGAUAGAACAUUAAAAGAGCACAUAGAUUACAUGCACGAGAGCUGGAAAGGAUUGAAAAAGUGUUGAUGUUCAUCGAAACAUAUUUCUUAUUCAAUCCUGUAGGUACUGAUGUUCUUUCAUGCCAUACAACAUAUGAUACCAGUGACAUUGCCAAAAUAGACUUUAUCAAUGAAAGGCGAAGAUAAGGAACAGUGAUCAAUCUCAUAACUCCUCCAAGCAAUAAAAAAUAAAGAGUUGGGGAAAGACAGACCCCUGGAUAUACUAGAGGUGAGGACAGGUGCCUAGGAGGAAUAAGCAUUCCCUGUCGAACGGUCACACCCGCCGUGAACCCUAUACCUUGAUGAGGUAAACGGAGUUAUCCGUAAUGAAAAUCAGUAUGCAAAGAACGGCCUGUGAUACAGCCACCAUGCCUCAUGAUUCUUCAAUUUAUUCCAAAUAUAGAGACUCUGCGGGUGUCAACGACUUCUGACCCCCCCCCCCCCUCUCCCCUUAUAUCUUGUUUGUACUUUUCUUAAAACAGUAUUUUUUUCAAUUGUUAAAAAAUUGUCAAAGCAGAAUUUACAUUUGCUCUCUCUUACAGAAAUAGUUUCCCCGUACUUUAAAUUUGGUAGCGCUGCACGAUGCUUUUCUCAAAUUAAAGGCAACCAAAUCAAUGAGAUUCUUUGUCAUACUUACCAAUAAUUGAUAUAUAACACAACAAUGCACGCAAAAUCUUAAUAAGUUGAUUACGUCAUUAAUGUUUAGAACAUGAUGGUGAUUAAAAGUAAAAUCGUUGAAGACAAUAAACCCCCCACUCCAUUACAUAUUUUAGCUCGCCUAAACUGAAAGUUCGUGUAAGUUUCUCGAAGUGCAUACAUUUCAAAUCUUUAACUUCUCUAGAAUCACUAGACCAAUUUCCACACACCUCGUCACUAAACAGCCUGAAGUGGAUUCAAAUAUGUGCAGUCGAUAGCUUGUCCUACUUCGAUAUUGUAUUCUCUAUAGGAUUGGCGAGUUAAUAUCAGCUCUCUAUAGGAUUGACGAGUUAAUAUCAGCUCGUUGUCUUAAUCUUUUUAUGGACAUUAUAAAUAAGCAUACAUAUAGGAUGAUAAAAAAAAACAACAAACAAACAAAGGUGCAUAAUAAUAGUAAAUGAAAAGGGCAUUUUAUUCAAAUUAAAAUGUCAUCAUUCUUAUGCAGUAUAAAUCAAAGUUUGUAGAUCACAUUACACACACAUACUCUUGAGCCAGGAUAACGCAACAAUAGGCUUAAGAAUUUCACAAUUUGGGUUUGAGUGGGUCCACAAAAUGGUUUAAUGUUUUACGUAAAUAGACAUGUAUGUCUUUAUUUCAACAUAUUAUAUAUCAAAGAACGAAAAUAGUACAAUAUCUUAAAUUGAAAUAUACCCACCCGCAUAUAGUAUUGAUUUAAGUUCACAUAAUCUAUUUUAUCUACUAACAGUAACCGUUUUCAUGCAAAUGUCGAUUCGAGAUAUCCAGGUGAUCUCGAAAUAAAAGACACCACAGAGUCUUCCACAUCUUCGUAAAUGAGAUAUUUAAUUAGGUAUAUAUAUAUUGACGGCAAACUAACAACUAAAUCUUAGGACAAACCGGAUGAUUUCAGCUACUCCAUCGUCAACUUCCCAUAUUUAUGUAGGAAUACUCCGUUAUAACCUACAUAUGGCGUUUAUGUCUCAACUGACUCGAUGCAUAAAAGUUUGUUCUGCGUAAGAUCAGUUUUUGAUUGGAGGCAGGCUAAUGACAAACAAACGAAUUUAUAACGAGUCGUGUGAGUGGUCCGUUAAUAAUCCCGAGACAAUUCGGAUGAUCCCGAGACUAAACAAUGUCUUUGCGAACCAAUCACACAGCGCGUACAAUAAAUUCGUACUCUGUGACCUCCUUUUAGGUUGCCAAUGGAAGAGAAGAGGAGAAGAAGCCCUGUCCGAUCAAUGCACGCAAGAUUGUGACAAAUAAAAGAGAUGAGAUGGGUUUUGAGUAUAAGAGACUUGUAGUAUGACAUCUCCUUGACCUGCCGCUUGCCAAAAUUCCUUAGGUAACGCUGUAAUUAGCAGGAAAAUGUAGUCCGAAACGGGGACCCUCUGUUUGUUUACAAAUUUUUACUUCAUGCCUUGUGUAUUUUAUCAUACCGGUAGAAGGUCAAUCUCUAAAGCUUACAAAAAGCGUGAAACGAUUACAUAAAUCGAAAUAGGGGUGAGAUAGACAGAAAAUUCACACAUUCCAGAGAAAUUAUUGCCACAAAAUUUUUUUCGAAAAAAGGGGGGAGGUAACAUGCAUACUUCAGGUGCCUGUGGUGGUAUGUCCAGGGAUCGAUGUUUGCCAAAAUCUUUAUUUUGUAUGCUUUGUAGGAGUUAUGAGAUUGAUCACUGUUCGUUAUCUUCACUUUUCAUGUUUGUUAUCAAGAUAUACUUUUCAUUUUUUGGACUAGAUAAUAUGAAUAGAGCAUGAAGGAAAACCUUGUUAAUUUCCAGGUUUCAGAGAAUACAAGGUAAAUAAUGGACAGUGGUAAUUCUCAUAAAUCCUAUAAAGAAUACAGAAUUAAUUAACAGUAGGGUAUACGUGGACCGUCACUAAACACAAUAAGUGGUAUAAGAUGCCAAAAGAGGAGUAAGCAUCUUGUUGAGCCGUAACACCCGUUAAACUAUAGCUUCGCUUUAUUAGAAUGCAUUUUAUGGGUUUAUAAUUGAAAUUUCCUGAAUACAGAAGGAGGAAUUAGAAAGAAAAUUCUCCAAUGCAAAUAUUAAAGCAUCGAGCGGGUAUAUAUCAUUCACACAAGCCAUUCAAUUGUGGUUUCUGGAUAUAAAAGAGAGCAUGUAUCACAGACCAGUGUUUUAUAUUCAUUUUCUUCAGACGUUCCUAUGUUAACACACACAGAAAUAUAACAUACCCCUCUCUUUUUUUCCGUGCCGAAACUAAACACCAGUUCUAGACGCCAUCGUGUUUCAGUAAAUUCCAUUUAGAAAACCACAGUAAUGGGCUAAAUGACCUUUGUUACGUAAGAGGUCAUCAAAGCAAUGGUAAUAAGCGCUUAUAUUCGAAUUUGCGAAAAGAACAUGUUAACGAUGUGAUACAUGUUACAUGUAUCAAGAAAUCCUUUUCAUUUUUCAGAAUAAGUAAAAUCAAUAGAGGAUACAGCAAAAUCUUGUCAUUUUUCACAUUUCAGAGACUGAAAAAGUGAAAAUAAGGAACAGUGAUACAUCUCACAAAUCCUAUAACGAAUACCAAAUUAAAAUCUAGAGUAGAGUAAACACGGACCAGAGGUAGGAUCAUGUUGAGCCUAAAGACUAAAUUUCGCUUUGGAAAAAAUACAUUUUAUGAAUUCAUAAUUGAUAUUUCCUGUUCAAAGACGGAAGAAGGAAAUUUAAAGAUGAAUGAUAUAUACUGCACAUAUUUAACCAUCGAGUGGUUAUUUAUCAUUCGCAUAAGCCGUUCUGUUUUGGUUUCUGGAUACAGAAAAGAUCAUGUAUCACACACCAGUCUUACUUCUAACGAUAGUAAAUGUAUGCACCAAUGUUUUAUAUUCAUUUUCGUCAGACGUUCCAAAGUGUGAGACAAUGUUCGCCGGGAUACCUUGGAAUAAACUGUAGUAGAAUGUGUCCCUAUCCUUAUUAUGGAGAAGGAUGUCAGAAAGAGUGUGACUGUGAGAGGGACUUGUGUGAUGUUUCCGUCGGUUGCAAAGACGUAACAACAGAAAAACUCCGUACUUCCAUCAUCAGCACUUUGAAUGAAGACGGCAUGGUAUGGCUAAAAGAAAUGUCUACAUAUAGACCAGUCAGCAUAAAUACUCUCUGUGGAAGCGGUAUUCUUCUAAAUAGAGUGACAGUUUUAUGUUUACCAAUUUCUUUCUUUAAGCAUGCAUAUUCUCUUUCCCUUUUCACAAUAUUUAAGCUCAUAUGCACUCACAUAUUUAUAGUAGAAAAUGUAUCUCCAAAGAAGAAAGACAAAUAGAAUUGUGAGCGAGAAAAUGUUAAACAUAGGAAUAUAGUUUCAGAAUCAAUGUAUAGUAUCAUUUUCACAUGUUUCAUAAUUAUCGUUGAAUGAAUUGCGUAUAUCGGUAGACAUGAUCAAAGAAAGUAACACCCACUUCUGAAAUUCCUGAUAAGAAGGGUUAUUGUAAACUUCAUAUUGAGAUGAACAGUUUCUCUAAAAUAGCUUUCGUUAUGACAUCUGUGUCGUGGAUCCGGAGCGUUAUUCUGACUGAACAUUCAAAUACCACAUAGAUUACAUGUACCGCAGCUAGAAAGGAUUGCAAAUAUGUUGAUGUUCAUCGAUACAAUUAUGUUUAAAUCUUAUGGGGUAAGCAUAAUACUUCAGAUUUCUUUUGAUACAUUGUUAUAUAUAUUUUGAUAUUGUUUCCAUUUUCUUUUUAAUGAGCAGCGCUUUGAAAUAUUAUCAUGAAAAUGAAGACAUUUGAUUUGAAUGAUGUAAUUAAUGUUCGAGGAGCUGAAAACCAAGAUAAGAUUUUCCUCCUACAUUGGUACAUAAUAGUAAAACAAAUCAACAUAUUAUAUUUAUGCAUCUACUUCUGAUGAAGGUCUCUGAAUAGAUCACAAGUGUCAUGUUUAGGGUAUUUUUAUCAUUUCAGUACAGAUGUUCUUUCAUUCCAAACAGCAUUUCCUACCAGAGAAAUUGUCAGGACAGACCUUAUUAAUGUCAUACAUCCACCAUGGCCCUUCAUUCUUCAACUUACUCAAAAUAUAGAGACUCUGCGGGUGUCAACGACUUCUAACGUCCCCCCUUUUACAUCUUGUUUGUACUUUUCUUGAAACAGUAUUUCUUCGAUAUGUAAAAAAUUGUCCAAGUAGAUUCUACAUUUGAUCUCUUUUACAGAAAUGACUUCCGCGUACUUUAUAUUUGGUAGCACUGCGCACUGUUUUCUCCUAAAAUACAUCUAAAACUUCAUUGUUAUUUUGGAUUUUAAACAUUUUGGUUGAGCAUUACGGAAGAGAAAUUAUUUGUCGAAAUGCGCAUUUGGUGCAUAAAAAUUGGUACCGUACAAGUCUUACAUGAUGCUUUUUUUCUAUUAAAAACAGAUGAAUCAAUGAAACUCUUUGUCAUACAUGUAGUUACCAAUAACUGAUAUACAUAAUACAACAGAACAAAUCAUGCAAAAUCCUAUUGAUGACAUCAUAUUUAGAACAUGAUAGUUAUCAGAAAAAAUAAAUAACCCAAUUCGUUACAUAUUUUAGUUCGCCUGAACUGAGAGUUUGUGUAUGCUUCUAAAAGUGCUUACUUUUCACAUGUUGAACGUCGUUUCUAGAGCAAUUGGUCCAAUUUCAACAAACCUCACAACUAAAUAGCCUGGAGUAGAAUCAAACAUGUGAUUCGAAAGAUCGUUGUACUCUCGAUGUUGUAGUCUUUAUAAGAUUAACCUCUUUUCGUCAUCUUGAUCUUUUUAUGAGGAUUACAAGGAUGCAUACAUUGGAAUAUUUAAAAAAAAAAAUGAUCAUAAUAAUAGUAUAUGAAAAUUAAAACCACAGGGACAGUUUUUCAAAUCAAAUUGCCGUCAUUCUUAUACAGUGUAAAUUAAAGAUUGUAGAUUACAUCACACACAAAGCCCGGAGUCCGGGUGGUGCCAACUUAGGCUUCAGAAUUUCACAAUUUGGGUCUGAGUGGGUUUCCGUCUGUAGGUAGAUUUUUCAGCUUUUCAUUCUUUUCUCCAAAACCUUUGUGCCAAUUUCUUUCAAACCUCGUACUUACGUGAAGGAGAUUCAUAUUUGUUCAAAUUAAGACCCUCCUGAAAGAGAAAAUAAUUAAGAAAAGGCGAAACUAGCUUGGGGUGAUUUAAAGCUGUCUCAAGAACCUAGGGGAUAAAACAAUUUAAUAUAAGCUUCCAGAUAUAGUGUAGAUUCAAGGUUUUUCAAUCAUGGGCCCCGGAUGUAGGAUGGGGCCACAAUAGGGGAUCAAAGUUUUAUAUGUGAACAUAUUAGGAGAAUCUCAAAAAAUGGUAUUAAGAACGAGCCAUUGGCCAGAAAAGUAAGAUGAAAUUUACAUGAAAGCUUCCUGACAUCGAGUAGAUUCAAAUUUGUUCAAAUCUUACCUCCCGAAAGUAGGAUGGAGCCACGAUAGGGGAUCAAAUUUCACAUGUGGAUACAUAGAAGAAGAAACAUCUUUUAAAGAUCCACUGGGGAAAAAUAGUUGACACUUACUUGAAAGCUUCUGGACAUUCAAGUUUGUCCAUAUCAUUUACCCCGGGUGUAAAGUAGGGCAACAAUAGGGUAUCAAAGUUUUACAUGAGAACAUAAAGGAAAAAUUAGUUUCAAGAACUUGUAGGAAUGCUAACGCAAAGGGAAAUAACUCCGAUAUUUUACUUAGGCAGUGCCAUGAUCGCGAUCGCUAUAUUUAGCUUUUGGGCAUCUCUGUUUUACGGCUUUAUACACUGAAUAUAGGAGAAUCUUCUGGAUGAAGCUAAUUCUUAAUUUAGAAUGCAUCAAAGCGCAUGCCUUUGAAGGAGAAUUGUUCCGGCUCAAAAGAAGAAAGGACGUAAAAGUGGAUUAAAGCAUGUUUUUAUGAAAUAUCACGACGGCACUCUUAAUACUGCAUUUUUCGUAAACUUCAAUGUCCCAUUUACAGAUAUGUAACUUUAUUUGUGGUCAACCGUGCCAGGAAUCCUUGACAAUAUUAUGCUUUUGAAAGGAACAACAAAGCAGAGAUUAAAGCCUCUUUUUCUAUCCAAAAUGGCAGCGCCCUUUUCCAUGUGUUUUCGCAUUACUAUUUAUAGUGAUAUUUCCCUCGUGAAACUGUUUUUGAUGAAACUGAUUCAAUGACUGAACUUGUAUAAAGUGAUAUUAGGGAGAAAUAGUUUCCUAACCGAUUGAAAAUGUAUAUCCUUAAGAUCGUUGUGUAUGCUCAGAGAAAGUUCAAACCUUGCAUAACGUUUACUUUGCGGUUGACACAGUUACAUACUGAAUUUUGAUAUCAAGAAAUAUUCUAGUUGGUGAUGUUAAACAACUUGGUAAUUCUGUUUUCUUUCUUUUCAUUACCUUUACCAGGAAUUAAGCUGAUAGUAUAGAAAUAACAGUAAGUGACAGUCAAGAUAUACUUCCGAAUGAGAUGUAUGUUUGUCAUUUGGAAUAUUAUGGAGCAUUGGGGGAAAUUUUAAAACACACACACACACACUGCUGUUAAGUAAAUAAUCAAAACGAAGAUUACAAAAAGUGAACCUGUCUGACUUUAAAAAUGAUCUGAUUACAACAUUUCAUAAAUUUGCCAAAGAACUAUGCGAUUCGCCAAAAGAUACACUUUACAAAUACCGCUGUGUAUUGGAAAAUAAACUGCAAGAAUACGAAGUAAAUGAAUUCAUUGAAACAGUUAUUGAAAAUGUGAUUGAGGAGACAUUAUUGUAUAGAAAGGACAUUGACUUCUUAGAAAUACCAACAUCAGUGUUCACUUUACGCAAAAUGUUCAGAUUGAAUCUUGCUUAACGUUUCGCUUGAGAAUCUUUCACUCAAAUCGAGAUGUCACCAAGACCGGUGAAGGGCUUCAAAUUUAGGCCUAUGCUCGGCGCUUACGGCUAUUGAGCAGUGAGGGUUCUUUAGCGUGCCACACCUACUGUGGCACGGGUCAUCCGUUUUGAAGGUCAUCUCCGAAGACCGGCGACAUUGACACCUGAUGCCGAGCGUUUGGCGAUGGAACUGUCACUACCUGUAUUACCGUUCAGAAAGAAACAGAGAAGUCUUAUGACCGUCAUAGAAAAUAGUGAUGGUGAGUGUUAGAAGGACCAGAUAUCUCAAAUCGGCAGGCAGUCGAAAUCUUCAUAAACAAUUGUCAAAUGCAAGUAGCAACUUGUGACAUCCUAUUCUCAAUAUAGUGACGAAAACGUCAACAAUUGUAACGAAACAAAUGUAAAAAUUGUACGUAAAACUUCAGAAAGAACACACUGAAAUGCAAAGAAAAACAAGAAAUUACUGAUUGACCAGCAAUCAUUAGAAAAUGAAAAGAGAAGAUUACAUAGUGAGCUUCAAAGAACAAAACAGGUCAUUCCUGUUGAAGAAACAUGUUUUCAGAUAAAUGAUUCAGAACUGGAAGUGACCCAUUUACAAAAAUGAAAGUAGAGACUUGGAAUUAGAUAGGGACUACUUGAUGGCUUUAUUUAAUGGUAAUGUAGGUGUGAAAUUAUUGGAUGAUGAUUCAAACUUAUUUACGCCUCAAGAAAGGGAAUGUGAUAUGAAGCUAACAUAGUGGCUACCACUAAACAUGUCUCUUCCGUUAGUAAAACUGAAUUAAAGUUAGCCAAUAAAACGCUUAAUAGAUUACCAUCUAGACAGACAGUUGAUGACAUUGUUUGUAAAUAAGUAGUAAAUGGGCAAAAGCAGAUUGGUUGCAGAUCAAAAUAGGAGGAAAAAAGAAUGUGUGUAGGA